CAAUAGCGUAUAUUAAAGUUGUUGCGGUUAAAAAGCUCGUAGUUGGAUUUCUGUUGAGAGCAGCGCGUCUACCUUUUGGGUAAGUAUGUUGCUUGGUCUCGGCAUCUUCGUGGAAGACGUUUCUGCGCUUGAUUGCGUGGGGCGGGGUUCACGACUUUUACUUUGAGGAAAUUAGAGUGUUCACGGCAGGCAUACGCCUUGAAUAUAUUAGCAUGGAAUAAUAACAUAGGGCUUACGGCCUAUUUUGUUGGUUUCUAGGCUGCAGGCAAUGAUUAAUAGGGACAAUUGGGGGCAUUCGUAUUAACGCGUCAGAGGUGAAAUUCUUGGAUUGCGUUACGACGAACUACUGCGAAAGCAUUUGCCAAGGAUGUUUUCAUUGA
rnacentral:rRNA from 1 species